rnacentral:piRNA from 1 species
UUUUUUUUAUCCGCUUAUACG